rnacentral:rRNA from 1 species
GGGCGUUGGAAGUUUGAGGGGGGCUGCUCCUAGUACGAGAGGACCGGAGUGGACGCACCUCUGGUGUACCGGUUAUGACGCCAGUCGUAUUGCCGGGUAGCUAUGUGCGGAAGAGAUAACCGCUGAAAGCAUCUAAGCGGGAAACUCGCCUCAAGAUGAGACUUCCCGGGGGCUUACCCCCCUAAAGGUUCGUCGAAGACUACGACGUUGAUAGGUCGGGUGUGGAAGCGCAGCAAUGUGUUAAGCUAACCGAUACUAAUUGACCGUGUGGCUUGAUUCU